CCUACGGGAGGCAGCAGUGGGGAAUAUUGGGCAAUGGGCGCAAGCCUGCCCCAGCAACGCCGCGUGAAGGAAGAAGGCUUUCGGGUUGUAAACUUCUUUUCUCAGGGACGAAGAAAGUGACGGUACCCGAGGAAUAAGCCACGGCUAACUACGUGCCAGCAGCCGCGGUAAUACGUAGGUGGCAAGCGUUAUCCGGAUUUACUGGGUGUAAAGGGCGUGUAGGCGGGAAAGCAAGUCAGAUGUGAAAACCAUGGGCUCAACCUGUGGCCUGCAUUUGAAACUGUUUUUCGUGAGUACUGGAGAGGCAGACGGAAUUCCUAGUGUAGCGGGGAAAUGCGUAGAUAUUAGGAGGAACACCAGUGGCGAAGGCGGUCUGCUGGACAGCAACUGACGCUGAGGCGCGAAAGCGUGGGGAGCAAACAGGAUUAGAUACCCGUGUAGUC
rnacentral:rRNA from 1 species